AUCGAAUAAGCUCCUAGAAAAAAUUUAUAGAGCAUAAGAUAAUAUUAACUUUGUAUAUACAUGUUUUGCAUCCAUAUAGAUGUGAAACCGUCGCCCCGCCCAUUUCAUCUCUCACGUAUCUGCUAUCCUAAAAAGAAAUAGUUGAAUUUAAAUAAUGGGCCCUGAAUCUAGACUGGAGAAAUAUAAAAUGGCAAUUAGGCCAAUUCAACAUGUAUGGGCUGAAACUAGAGAAAGAAAAAAUAAAACUGGGCUGAAAUUAGACAUGAGAAGGAAGAAAGAAAAAUACUAAGGACUCACACGCACUUGGGCCUUCCGCUCGUUAGGAAACCAUGACGUCGCGAGAGCAUUUUGACAUUUUUAAUUCCUAAAACGAUAUGACAAGUAAAAAAAGUCAUCUCCAAGUGUUUGGAUUUUUUUUCGUUUUGGAUUUUUUUUUCAUUUUGGUUUUUUCAUUUUUUAUCUUUAUCGAGUGUCAGGUAUUUGAGCUUUUUGCCGAGUGCUAAAGAUACUCGAUAAAGCCUCUGUGUCCAGUAGUGCCAUAUAAAUGAAUCAUAUUCAAAUUCACGACUUCAAUAUAUGUCAAUUAAAUCCAAAUUAUUCAAAUGUAAAUUAUGUAGGUGGAUUGCAGCUCUUGUAGAGAUAGAGCAAAAUUGUUUUACGCCUUUUGUUAUAUCGUUCCUUUUCUCUAGUGCUUUGUAGAUUUUUUAAAUAGGCUAUUCACCCCAUCUAGCUAUAUUUGGACCUUUCAGAAGGGAAGGAGGGAGGGCGCGGGGCAGGCCGGGCUGCGUUUGCUCGCUGGGCCGAGGCCGCGAGUGAGGAGGGAAAGAGUAGUGCGCUGUUGGGCCUGGUCCUGGGCCGUGGGGGGGCACCCAGGGGGCCGGUUUCGGCGAGCUGGGCUACCAGGCCGAGGCAGGUAGCAAACCUGUUUCUUCUUUCCUUUUUUUCCUUUUAUUCGAAAGCUAUUUUCACAUCAUUUCAAAACAUUUUGAAUUAGUUGGAUUUUUGACAAACCACACAUCUCAAUAACAUAAAUGCACAAGCAUGAAUGCACAACAGUUUUCCAAACUCCUAUGAUAAAUUUUAUUUUAAUGAAAAAUAUUAUUUCCUUAUAUUUUCAUGAGCACAAAAAUUCAUAAAUAAAUCAUUUUAGCUCUAUUUUCAAGAAACAAUUUUUAGGGUGUUAGAUUGAGUUCUUUACCGAGUGCUAAAAACAGUGGACAAAGCCUGUAACAUCCCGGAUUUUUACGAAAACCAAAAAUACGAAUUUUUUAAAAUUUUUCCUGUAAUCGUGUGGAGCAUAUAGUUUUUAGAUCUAACUCGAUCCUAACCCGCUAACAAAUCGUGGCAUACAUAUAGAUUUGUUUCUAGGCGAGUGCUUUUGUUCGUGAGUCGGUUGGGAGGGUUUUGAGUUUCUUUUGGAGUGCACAAAUCCGUAGCAAGGUCUUCCCGAAUUUUCAUUGAGCCUAUCUCAAAGGCUAAGCGAAUCCCUUCUCAACCUUUUCGUUGGAGUACGUCUCAAACUCCUUUGGAUCUUUUUGUACUCUUCCCAAGAUUCCCUUCUCCAAACCAUUACCCCUGUUGAACUCAUCCCAAUCUCUUCUCUACCUAUAACUCUUUUGAUAUCUAUUCCAAAGCCCCCAAAUCCCCUUUAUUAAAAUGGAAAUCUUUCUUCUUCUCCCUUGGGCCAAAAUCCUCUUUCCUCCCUUCCUGUCCAGCCCAGGCCGGCCCUACUCCCCUCUACCUUUUCUUCUCCUCCUUCUGACCCACGUGACCAGCCAGCCUGCUCGCUUUGCACCAGCCCAGCAUCCCUCUCUCUUGACCCAGCUCGCAGUUAGGAGCCCAGCGGGCCUGCUCUUUGUUGACGGUCCUUAAUGCUCACAUUUAACCAUCAACUAAUCAUGGAAAAAGACUUAUAUGCAGCCAACACCUAGACUUAGGGUUUUAUCUGACAGAAUUCCACGAGUUUUGUUGUUUGUCUAUUUCUGCAGGGGGUUAUCAGGAAAUAUGAAAGAAAGGCCCACAC
rnacentral:lncRNA from 1 species